AUAAUCUAUUCUAAUUAUUUCCUCUGUAAAAGAGAUGGUCUCCAUGCUUGCUGAUAGCUAAGGAGUUGCUCAUCAGGCAUAGCGCACUAUAGUGCAGGACCUUGCAGGCUGCAGGCGUUUUUUUGGUGGUGAAAUUUGUGCUGAUGGAAUAGGUGCACCUUCACUAAUGGUGGAAAAUGCAAGGACUCAGUUGAGUAGAAGCAUGGGUGAGGAGCCUUUAGUAUAGAAAAUCCUGGAUGAAGUCAGCUAGAAAAGAAGAGUACACGAGAAAAGAAAAGAUUACACAAAAUUAUUUACAUUCUAUGUGUGGAAGAUAUCUUUUUUAGUAACAGGCAUUUUUCAGUUUGUAAAUUAUUUUCAUUCUAUAUAUUUGUGGAACAUGCCUUGUUUUGUCUUCUACAAAGGAUAAAAGUGCAGUUAGAGGAAAAGAAGUAAGCCCUUAUUAUUUUUUUAAAAGAAUAAGUAGAGUAGUAUUGAGAGCAGGACAUGCACACCAUAUCUGAAUUUACCAAAUAUUAAUUUCAGGCUUGCUGUUUCAUGGACCAAGAUAAUGUUUUGUUGACCAGCAAUGCAGAGGUCGUUCCUCUCUUUAUUUAUUCCAGCAUUGCCUUGUUCUCAAUAUUGUUUCAGAGAACAUAGAUAUAUUAAUAGAUGCAUAUUUCAAGUUCGUGAUAUAUGAUCAGUCCUAAAGAAAGCACUAGGAGCAGCUACGUAACAGCAUAUACCUUUCCAAAAAAAAAACACCAUGAGCAUGUUCAUAGCUUACAAACCCAAAAUCUGGUGCUAGGACUGUCAAAAAUCAUAUUUGGUGGGUGCAACUAUAACUUUCUAAUAUGUAUUAGCUGCUGGUGCUAUCAGUUUAAUUUAAUCUUACAUUGCAUUCUUUGUAGAAACGGAGGGAGAACCCUUCUAUGUUAAUUGAGACAAAACUCUAAUGAAUAAAAGGGUUUGUUUCGAUUUGUAGUAUAUUUGUCUAGAUGAACACGCUGCAUGCUUCUCCGUUAGAAGAAUUACUAGAAAGCUUAAUCCUUGUCCUUCUGUGUUCAAUAUGGCCGAACUUUGAAAGUGAUUACAUGUCUGGUUUGGUUCUUCUGAAUGUCAUUGUCGCACAGGAUAUAUGCACCUGUCUAUGACCAAUGUGUUUCUAUCAGCAAUGUCAGUAAAAUGAAAAGUAUUUUUAGGAGUAUGGUGUUAUCUACCUACAGCACUAACUGUUAUGUUGCUCUAAUUAUUCCAAAUACAUGGAUCUGUAUAUCUAUUUUUAGGAGAUGGCCUAGAGGUGAACGAAACUGAACAGAAGCACACAUGUUUGACUAUCCCUUCCCAUGUGUUUUUUAUGGCUCAUAGAACUUACAUUAUAAAGUUGCAGUAAUAUGAAUAAAAGAUGUUUCAGGUGUGAAAAGCAGCCUUAUGGUGAGAAGCUAAUUAUCCCUGUGAUGUCUGGCUCUGAUGCUUGGCAAAAUUUCAAGCAUCAAUUGUGCUACCAUUGUGUACAAGUGGGCUAACAGAGAAGAUUUUGGUGUACCCAGAGGCUGAGUGAGAAAUAUGGAUAGAUCUUGCUACAUUUUUAGACCAUGUUUUAAAUUCUUGUGUUGCAUCAAUUAGACCAUAUUUUAAAUUCCUGUACCAAUCAAUAAUUAAUAAUGAAUUAAGACAAGUUUAUACGGUGGCUCGGUGGCUCUGAUAUAAUAUUUUUGUUAAACUA